AAGGAUCAUUAUUGAAUAAAUUUGGUUGGGUUGUAGCUGGUUCUUAGGAGCAAUGUGCACGCCUACCAUUUUUACUUCUCCACCUGUGCACCUUUUGUAGAUUUUGAAACAAUUUUGAGGUUUGCUGUGUGAAAGCCAGCUCUCCUUGUGUUUCUUGUCUACGUUUUUCAUAUACCACUAGUAUGUUACAGAACGUUUGUCAAUGGGCUUAUGCCUAUAAAACAAUAUACAACUUUCAGCAACGGAUCUCUUGGCUCUC
rnacentral:misc_RNA from 1 species